rnacentral:rRNA from 1 species
AACGCGAAGGAACCUUCCUGGUCUUGCCAUCCACGGAAGUUUUCAGAGAAGGAGAAGGUGCUUUCGGGAACCGGGAGACAGGGCCGGCAUGGCUUUGGCCAGCUCGGUCUGUGAAAUUUUGGGUUAAGUCCCGCAACGAGCGCAACCCUUACCCUUUGUUCAGCGGUCGGCGGGCACUCUAAGGAGACUGCCGUGAAAACGGAGGAAGGUGGGGAUGACGUCAAGUCAUCAUGGCCCUUAGCCGGGCUACACACGUGCUACAAUGGUACAAAGGGCAAUCGCGAGGUCAAGCAAUCUCAUAAAGCUCGUAGUCCGGAUUGAGUCUGCAACUCGACCUGAAGUCGGAAUCGCUAGUAAUCGG